GCGCCUACGGGUGGCUGCAGUGAGGAAUAUUGGUCAAUGGGCGCAAGCCUGAACCAGCCAUCCCGCGUGCAGGAAGACGGCCCUAUGGGUUGUAAACUGCUUUUCCAGGGGGAGAAUUUUUCUGUCGUGACAGGAAUUGACGGUACCCUGGGAAUAAGCAUCGGCUAACUCCGUGCCAGCAGCCGCGGUAAUACGGAGGAUGCGAGCGUUAUCCGGAUUUAUUGGGUUUAAAGGGUGCGUAGGCGGAUAGAUAAGUCAGUGGUGAAAACCUGCAGCUUAACUGUAGACUUGCCGUUGAUACUGUCAGUCUUGAGUAUGGUCAAGGUAGGCGGAAUGUGUAAUGUAGCGGUGAAAUGCUUAGAUAUUACACAGAACACCGAUUGCGAAGGCAGCUUACUGGGCCAUUACUGACGCUGAUGCACGAAAGCGUGGGGAUCGAACAGGAUUAGAUACCCGAGUAGUCUC
rnacentral:rRNA from 1 species